GGGGAUAUAGUUAUAAUAUAACAUCUGGGUUGCAUUCAGAAGGAGCUUACCUUGUAGGCUUU
rnacentral:tRNA from 1 species